GGGUGGUUAGCUCAGUUGGGAGAGCACCAGCCUUACAAGCUGGGGGGUCACUGGUUCGAACCCAGUACCACCCCACCA
rnacentral:tRNA from 1 species